rnacentral:rRNA from 1 species
GACGAACGCUGGCGGCGUGCUUAACACAUGCAAGUCGAACGGAAAGGCCCUGCUUUUGUGGGGUGCUCGAGUGGCGAACGGGUGAGUAACACGUGAGUAACCUGCCCUUGACUUUGGGAUAACUUCAGGAAACUGGGGCUAAUACCGGAUAGGAGCUCCUGCUGCAUGGUGGGGGUUGGAAAGUUUCGGCGGUUGGGGAUGGACUCGCGGCUUAUCAGCUUGUUGGUGGGGUAGUGGCUUACCAAGGCUUUGACGGGUAGCCGGCCUGAGAGGGUGACCGGCCACAUUGGGACUGAGAUACGGCCCAGACUCCUACGGGAGGCAGCAGUGGGGAAUAUUGCACAAUGGGCGGAAGCCUGAUGCAGCAACGCCGCGUGCGGGAUGACGGCCUUCGGGUUGUAAACCGCUUUCGCAUGUGACGAAGAGUGAGUGACGGUAAUGGGUAAAGAAGCACCGGCUAACUACGUG